UACAGAAACGCCGAUUGGCCUUUGGACUACCCUAUCUGUCGCUCUAACGAGCCGGCGUCGCCGCCAGGGGACGCUCGGGCCGCGGGAAGGUCGCUGGGUCGUGAGCUGGCGCCAGGGACGCCGAGCGACUGCGGGGCUUCCCUCAGCGUCCUGCUAUCCGGCUGCUCGCCGCGCUCCCUGGUAGUGUCCGUGGGCGCAGGCCUUGAAGAACCUCCUCGCGGCGGGCCCCCGAGCGCAGGAGAGGUGUCAAAGCGCUGGUGCGUCUCCAGAGCCCCGGGAGGAAGGCUGUAACGGCAGCCCCAUCGUAGACAGGGACAUUCGCAUCCCGAGCCCUGGAUCUGUGAAAACCAGCCCAGAAUUUGGAAGCUGGAAGGAACUUUAGAUCCUCCCUUCUGGGUGUCUCUCUUCGCUGGCGUUUUCCCGCUGAGGUUGUGUAAACAUGAAGAGGAGUCUACAAGUGUCAAGGAGAAAACGACAGCUAACCAAACGGCAGGCCAUGGGCAAGAUAUCUCAGUGUUCUCUGCUCUCAUAGGUCAGGUCACGACCCCCAGGAGACCUGGAGGACUGAAUGCUGCUGCCCCCAAGGAGGAGGCUGCCGUCUUAUCCGAGGAGGGACAGCAGGUGAAGUCCCCAGGGGAGGAAGCACCUAGCCCCAUUCCUGCUGAGCAGGAGGUGGCAGGUACCCCAGACUGGGAGGUAAGGACAGCCCCGUGCUUCAACUGGAACGUGUCCAGCGUGGGUCUGACUGAGCAGCCAUGGAGCACUGCAGAGUGGGAGGCAGCAGGGCAGGGAGGCAGUGCUGGAGGCUGGCUCAACCCUAAGACCAGCAGGCCAAGCUGCCAUCCCAGGGGAGCGAGGACGUCUGUGCAGAGCUGAGAGGCAGCAGCCAUGUGUGAACAGACUGGGCCUCAUCCUGGCCCCACCGACUUCGUGUGGACAGAGCCUGUUUCCCUGUCUGAUCUCAAAGAACCUGCCUGAUCUCACUGCUGGAUCCCUCUUCUUCCUGCCAGGAAAAUAAAAAGGUUCAAAAGGAAGUUGCUGCGUAUCCAUCUGAGGACUCUGAGGACAGCAAAGAGCAAAGGCCCUGGGACUGGGUCUCUGUGCCCAUGACAGAGCUCUGGCUGGGCUGGUUCUCAGCCUCUAACACCCCCAAGACUCAGAACCGUGAAGAAAAACUUCCCAAUAAAUCCAAGAGUUGCUGCUGCUAUAGGCCAGGCUGCCACCUUUCGGGGCCUCCGUCUUCAGACAAACCCAGCCUGGCUUCAUCCACGCUCUCUGUCCCCACAGCUGCAGGAACAGCACUUCCUGCCACCGAGCCGUGUGACCACAGUGGAUUGUCUCUGGAGGGGCCCAAGGGGGCCCUGGCCACUUUUCUGACUGACUCGGUGCCAGGGGACAGACCAAUGUCCCUCUCGUGCUGACAUCCGGGCCACACCCUAGCAUGAGGGCAUUUACAGAAAUGCUGGCAGAACUGCUGCCAGGGAGGCUGUAGGGUCCUCUGGCAAAAGAGGCCUCAGGUGGCUUCUCAGAGUGUCUGCGGUUCUCUAUCCCAGGCUGUUCCUUAAGAAGGUCUGCCCAGGACACAGGCAGCUUCGAUUUCAGCCAUGGAUCUGAUGACUUUCAACAAACCUUCCUGACGAAAAUGCUGUUUCCACCAGAAGAGAUCUCAGGACAAAUGUAGACAGCCCUGGCAAGUGGGGUCUGUCUAGGAGCCAGCAGACUGGUCACGACCCCCAGGAGACCUGGAGGACUGAAUGCUGCUGCCCCCAAGGAGGAGGCUGCCGUCUUAUCCGAGGAGGGACAGCAGGUGAAGUCCCCAGGGGAGGAAGCACCUAGCCCCAUUCCUGCUGAGCAGGAGGUGGCAGGUACCCCAGACUGGGAGGUAAGGACAGCCCCGUGCUUCAACUGGAACGUGUCCAGCGUGGGUCUGACUGAGCAGCCAUGGAGCACUGCAGAGUGGGAGGCAGCAGGGCAGGGAGGCAGUGCUGGAGGCUGGCUCAACCCUAAGACCAGCAGGCCAAGCUGCCAUCCCAGGGGAGCGAGGACGUCUGUGCAGAGCUGAGAGGCAGCAGCCAUGUGUGAACAGACUGGGCCUCAUCCUGGCCCCACCGACUUCGUGUGGACAGAGCCUGUUUCCCUGUCUGAUCUCAAAGAACCUGCCUGAUCUCACUGCUGGAUCCCUCUUCUUCCUGCCAGGAAAAUAAAAAGGUUCAAAAGGAAGUUGCUGCGUAUCCAUCUGAGGACUCUGAGGACAGCAAAGAGCAAAGGCCCUGGGACUGGGUCUCUGUGCCCAUGACAGAGCUCUGGCUGGGCUGGUUCUCAGCCUCUAACACCCCCAAGACUCAGAACCGUGAAGAAAAACUUCCCAAUAAAUCCAAGAGUUGCUGCUGCUAUAGGCCAGGCUGCCACCUUUCGGGGCCUCCGUCUUCAGACAAACCCAGCCUGGCUUCAUCCACGCUCUCUGUCCCCACAGCUGCAGGAACAGCACUUCCUGCCACCGAGCCGUGUGACCACAGUGGAUUAUCUCUGGAGGGGCCCAAGGGGACCCUGGCCACCUUUCUGACUGACUCGGUGCCAGGGGACAGACCAACGUCCCUCUCGUGCUGACAUCCGGGCCACACCCUAGCAUGAGGGCAUUUACAGAAAUGCUGGCAGAACUGCUGCCAGGGAGGCUGUAGGGUCCUCUGGCAAAAGAGGCCUCAGGUGGCUUCUCA